rnacentral:ncRNA from 1 species
UAACAUAGUUAAACACCCGUUAACCGAGACCUAUGGGUGUAUAAAUCACGUCUCUCAUAUCCCCGCUAAGGGUGCGGGGAGCAUAGUAUCUCCA